UUUUCCCCGGAGGCAUUGCACGUGUAGCUGCUGUGACACAUGUGUGUCAGUGGUGGCAGAGAGAAGCGAGUCUGCAUCUACACUCAGUGUUCUGACCUGGGAGCAGCUGAAUGAUUAGUAGCUUAACACU
ensembl:snoRNA